rnacentral:misc_RNA from 1 species
UGGGUUCCUACAACACUGGUUGCAGCAAAACAAUAAUAAGAAAGUUGGAAUGUUAUCAAAUCCCUUAUCCAAACCUGUUAAAACAAAGAUAAAAAGAUAAGAGAGAGAAGAUCUCAAACCCAUUACCAAAAGCUCCUAACCAAUUACAACUAUCCAACUCAGCUUCCUUACUCCUCCCUUAUCCAACCAAACGUUCUAUUUCGACCACCAAUGCAUCCCUCCCGGAAUCUAAAAACCAUCACUGCACAGUCUUCCAGUAUCUCUCUUCUCUUCUCUUUAACCUUUUCUCAGCAAAAAUCAAGAAAUCAAGAAAAGGAAAAUG